ensembl:lncRNA
CUGCAGCCGAUUACAGAUUUGAAACAUCAUCUGUUUGUGUUUCCUCUGCUUGUAGUUGUAACAUGACCUGAGUGUGUGUGUUUGCAUUUUCCAGAUACACAUCAAGCUGAUACACAUGUUGUCUACUCUGACGUGAGGAUUCUCACUGCAGAGCAGUCAGCUGAUCCAGGUGUUGUGUAUUCAUCACUGAGAGCAGGAAGCUGAGGACACCCUGGGCCUGAUGGACCUUCAUCCUUCCUCUGCUCCUCUUCUUCAUGCUGCCUGUGCUUUAGUCUGUUUAAAAUACAGCUGUUAGCUGUCACCUGUGCACACAGUAACAUCUGCUCAGGAAGCAGGUUCAGUAACUCUGAGUUUCCUGUUGUCACCUGUGCAGGUUUCAGACUUGCACACAGACACUGUGUGCACCGUGCUGCACUCUAACACACUCUCACACUGAUGGAGGCUGCAGGCUCUUUAGCACAGAGGUCCUCUGACUGCCAAUCCACAGUCUCUGAUUGGUGUGGACCCGCUGCACCCCUGAGCCUGAGAUGAGCCGACAGCGCCCUCUGCUGGUCUCAGUUUGAGCUGCUGCUGAUCGUCCACAGACCAUCGUUGUUCAUUCCUUUUUCCUCCUACAUGCUCUCCUUCACACUCUUUACAUGUUUGUACUAAAGAUCAGGAGUCAUGGCUUUCUGGAUGUGUGUCAUCUGUUGCCAUGGUAACUGACCCUGUUCAAGUUAUCCUUCUUACUGGGACCAAAAGCUGAGUUUCCUUCAUCUGAGGAUUAACAACCUCAGAGUUUCACUCAAACCUGCUUCCUGUAAGAGAAACUGUGUGUGUGUGUGUGUGUGU